AGACUCUGUGCGCGUGCAUAUCAAUAAGCGGAGGAAAAGAAACUAACUAGGAUUCCCUUAGUAACGGCGAGUGAAGCGGGAAGAGCUCAAAUUUGAAAUCUUCAAGGUUUUACCUUGACGAAUUGUAGUUUAAAGAAGUGUUUUCUGUUGAAGUUUUGGUAAAAGUUCUUUGGAAUAGGACAUCAUAGAGGGUGAGAAUCCCGUAUUUGACCAUUAUUUUCCAGCUGUGUGAUACACUUUCAAAGAGUCGGAUUGUUUGGGAAUGCAGUCCAAAAUGGGUGGUAAAUUUCAUCUAAAGCUAAAUAUUGGCGAGAGACCGAUAGCGAACAAGUACCGUGAGGGAAAGAUGAAAAGAACUUUGAAAAGAGAGUUAAACAGUACGUGAAAUUGUCAAAAGGGAAGCGUUUGACACCAGUGUUGUUUUUCCGAAAAUCAAUUACUAAAUGUUUUGUUUUUGAGGAGUGAUGACUUCAUCGGCUUGCUCCUUUCUUUACGAAACUUUCUGUAAUGCACUUUUCGGUUAACAAGUCAACAUCAAUUUCUUUUGUUGUAAAAGAGUAUGAGGAAGGUGGCUUUCUUUUCGGAGAAAGUGUUUAUAGCCCUUAUGCCUCUACAAUCGGAGAGAUUGAGGUCUGCAGCGUAGAUCCUUCGGGGUUAGAUACAUUUGUGCUAAGUUAUAGCUUUUCAUAGACAACUUGUUGACUAUGUUUAGUCUUGUAGCUUACUCGCUUACUGCUAUUUUACCUACGCUUAGGAUGUUGAGUCGUAGAGCACGCAG
rnacentral:rRNA from 1 species